rnacentral:lncRNA from 1 species
UUUUUUGUUAAAGCCAUAUUUUAACGUUCUUAACUCGCCUCUAGGAAAUCAUGAAAAAAUUCAAUCUCUCGGUUGCUUUUUUGGACUUCGCGUAUAUUACAGGUUAUAAAUAAUAAAAAUCUCGAAUUACAUGGUCAGAAUACAUGUUAUUUAAUUACAGGGUCAANGAAUUACAUGGUCAGAAUACAUGUUAUUUAAUUACAGGGUCAAUUUUCAGACUUCAUGUAUAUUACGUGGUCAAUUUCAAUUAAUAACCCUAUUUUAAAUUGCACUUUUGUUAACAAAAUGAUAAACCUCUUUUAUUUUGAUUUUUUUUAGGAAAAAAA